rnacentral:rRNA from 1 species
UUGGAGGGCAAGUCUGGUGCCAGCAGCCGCGGUAAUUCCAGCUCCAAUAGCGUAUAUUAAAGUUGUUGCAGUUAAAAGCUCGUAGUUGAAUUUCGGAAUCUGUUCGUUGGUCGGGCUACACUGUCCGUACUGGCGUGAUGGGUUCUUACCGUCUGAAUAACCAGCAUGCCAUUCAUUUGGUGCGUUGGGGAAGCAGGACUAUUACCUUGAAAAAUUAGAGUGCUCAAAGCAGGCUAGUGCCUGAAUACAUUAGCAUGGAAUAAUAAAAUAGGACGGCAUGGUUCUAUUUUGUUGGUUUCUAGGAUCACCGUAAUGAUUGAUAGGGAUAGUUGGGGGCAUUAGUAUUCAAUUGUCAGAGGUGAAAUUCUUGGAUUUAUUGAAGACUAACUUCUGCGAAAGCAUUUGCCAAGGAUGUUUUCAUUAAUCAAGAACGAAAGUUAGGGGAUCGAAGACGAUCAGAUACCGUCGUAGUCUUAACCAUAAGCUAUG